UACGAAGGGGGCUAGCGUUGUUCGGAAUACUGGGCGUAAAGCGCGCGCAGGCGGCUAUCCAAGUCAGUGGUGAAAGCCCGGAGCUCAACUCCGGAACUGCCAUUGAAACUGUUUAGCUUGAGGACGAGAGAGGUGAGUGGAAUUCCCAGUGUAGAGGUGAAAUUCGUAGAUAUUGGGAAGAACACCGGUGGCGAAGGCGGCUCACUGGCUCGUUUCUGACGCUCAGGCGCGACAGCGUGGGAUC
rnacentral:rRNA from 1 species